AGGCCGGAUGCUUGCUUGCUUUUUCCUUCUUUUUUCCUUUUUUUUUUUUUGU
rnacentral:ribozyme from 14 species